UACAGAGGGUGCAAGCGUUAAUCGGAAUUACUGGGCGUAAAGCGUGCGUAGACGGUAGCGUAAGUCGGGUGUGAAAGCCCCGGGCUCAACCUGGGAAUUGCAUUCGAGACUGCUCUGCUAGGGUGCGGAAGAGGGAAGCGGAAUUUCCGGUGUAGCGGUGAAAUGCGUAGAGAUCGGGAGGAACAUCUGUGGCGAAGGCGACUGCCUGGACCAGCACUGACACUGAGGCACGAAAGCGUGGGGAGCAAACAGG
rnacentral:rRNA from 1 species